rnacentral:rRNA from 1 species
GACGAACGCUGGCGGCGUGCUUAACACAUGCAAGUCGAACGAGACGAUUGAAAGCUUGCUUUCGAAAGUCGAGUGGCAAACGGGUGAGUAACGCGUAGACAACCUGCCUUUGAGAUGGGGACAACAGUUCGAAAGGACUGCUAAUACCGAAUGUUGUAUAUUUUCCACAUAGAAGAUAUAUUAAAGAUGGCCUCUAUUUAUAAGCUAUCGCUCAAAGAUGGGUCUGCGUCUGAUUAGCUGGUUGGUGGGGUAACGGCCUACCAAGGCGACGAUCAGUAGCCGGUCUGAGAGGAUGAACGGCCACAUUGGGACUGAGACACGGCCCAGACUCCUACGGGAGGCAGCAGUGGGGAAUCUUCCACAAUGGACGAAAGUCUGAUGGAGCAACGCCGCGUGAGUGAAGAAGGGUUUCGGCUCGUAAAGCUCUGUUGUCGGGGACGAAUGUGCAGUAUUUGACUAAAGUACUGCAAUGACGGUACCUGACGAGGAAGCCACGGCUAACUACGUGCCAGCAGCCGCGGUAA